GAUGAACGCUGGCGGCGUGCUUAACACAUGCAAGUCGAACGAAGCAUUUGCGACAGAUUUUUUCGGAAUGAAGUUGCUUAUGACUGAGUGGCGGACGGGUGAGUAACGCGUGGGUAACCUGCCUUGUACUGGGGGAUAGCAGCUGGAAACGGCUGGUAAUACCGCAUAAGCGCACAAUGUUGCAUGACAUGGUGUGAAAAACUCCGGUGGUAUAAGAUGGACCCGCGUCUGAUUAGCUAGUUGGUGAGAUAACAGCCCACCAAGGCGACGAUCAGUAGCCGACCUGAGAGGGUGACCGGCCACAUUGGGACUGAGACACGGCCCAGACUCCUACGGGAGGCAGCAGUGGGGAAUAUUGCACAAUGGAGGAAACUCUGAUGCAGCGACGCCGCGUGAGUGAAGAAGUAAUUCGUUUUGUAAAGCUCUAUCAGCAGGGAAGAUAGUGACGGUACCUGACUAAGAAGCGCCGGCUAAAUACGUG
rnacentral:rRNA from 1 species